CAGCUUUUCACCUGUCUUCUUCUGGAAGCUGGGCAUUUGUCUGCCCUUUGAGUAACUUUCGCUGCAGCCAUUUUCUGAGCAACUGUCCUUCUCAGGCCGGUGAGAGGGAAUCGGUGAUCAACAGAUACCGGAAUUGUCUUGACAGUUGGAACUGGAAAGAAACUACUGCAGAUAUUUUAAGGAAGCACACAGACAAGCAGUUGCUACAUGGAAGACAGAAGGAGAAGCAGUCAUAUAUAACGGGA
rnacentral:lncRNA from 1 species